AUGGCUGGUCGUACCACUCUUGUCCAAUCUGUGCUCACCUCCAUUCCUAUUCACCAGCUGCUCGCUCUCUCCCCGCAAAAGAAGGUCAUUAAGCAAUGCGACGAAAUUCGGAGCGGCUUUAUCUGGGCUGGGCAGAAGACAACCAAGGGUGGCCAUUGCCUGGUCAAUUGGAGCCAUGUCUGUCGCCCUAUUUGGCUUGGCGCCCUGGGCAUCCUGGACCUCGACCGUAUGGGCAUGAAGUUAAGCCUUCGAUGA
rnacentral:rRNA from 1 species